rnacentral:rRNA from 1 species
AGAGUUUGAUCCUGGCUCAGGAUGAACGCUAGCGGCAGGCCUAAUACAUGCAAGUCGAACGGAGCCUUCGGGCUUAGUGGCGCACGGGUGCGUAACGCGUAUGCAACCUACCUGUAAGCGGGGGAUAGCCCGAGGAAACUCGGGAUUAAUACCCCCAUAAUAUAAUUGGAUGGCAUCAUUUGAUUAUUAAACAUUUAUGGUUUACAGAUGGGCAUGCGUAAGAAUUAGCAAGUUGGUGAGGUAGCAGCUCACCAAGGCAAUGAUCUUUAGGGGUUCUGAGAGGAAGAUCCCCCACACUGGUACUGAGAUACGGACCAGACUCCUACGGGAGGCAGCAGUAGGGAAUAUUGGGCAAUGGAGGCAACUCUGACCCAGCCAUGCCGCGUGCAGGAAGAAGGCCUUCUGGGUUGUAAACUGCUUUUGGAAGGGAACAAAACGGCUCUGCGGAGCAACUUGAGUGUACCUUCAGAAUAAGCACCGGCUAACUCCGUGCCAGCAGCCGCGGUAAUACGGAGGGUGCAAGCGUUGUCCGGAUUUAUUGGGUUUAAAGGGUGCGUAGGCGGCUUAUUAAGUCAGGGGUGAAAGACUGCAGCUCAACUGUAGCAGUGCCUUUGAUACUGAUGAGCUUGAGUACAGAUGAGGCUGGCGGAAUGGGUGGUGUAGCGGUGAAAUGCAUAGAUACCAUCCAGAACACCGAUUGCGAAGGCAGCCGGCUAAACUGUAACUGACGCUGAGGCACGAAAGCGUGGGGAUCGAACAGGAUUAGAUACCCGUAGUCC